rnacentral:rRNA from 1 species
GAUGAACGCUGGCGGCGUGCCUAAUACAUGCAAGUCGAGCGAACGGACGAGAAGCUUGCUUCUCUGAUGUUAGCGGCGGACGGGUGAGUAACACGUGGAUAACCUACCUAUAAGACUGGGAUAACUUCGGGAAACCGGAGCUAAUACCGGAUAAUAUUUUGAACCGCAUGGUUCAAAAGUGAAAGACGGUCUUGCUGUCACUUAUAGAUGGAUCCGCGCUGCAUUAGCUAGUUGGUAGGGUAACGGCUUACCAAGGCAACGAUGCAUAGCCGACCUGAGAGGGUGAUCGGCCACACUGGAACUGAGACACGGUCCAGACUCCUACGGGAGGCAGCAGUAGGGAAUCUUCCGCAAUGGGCGAAAGCCUGACGGAGCAACGCCGCGUGAGUGAUGAAGGUCUUCGGAUCGUAAAACUCUGUUAUUAGGGAAGAACAUAUGUGUAAGUAACUGUGCACAUCUUGACGGUACCUAAUCAGAAAGCCACGGCUAACCACGUG